CAAAAUGUAGCUUAGCCACAAAGCAUCUGGCCUACACCCAGAAGACUUCACACAAUGAACAUUUUGA
rnacentral:tRNA from 1 species